rnacentral:rRNA from 1 species
GUGGGGAAUAUUGCGCAAUGGGGGAAACCCUGACGCAGCGACGCCGCGUGGGCGAUGAAGGCCUUCGGGUCGUAAAGCCCUGUCGAGCGGGGCGAAACGUGCGAGCUCUAACAUAGCUCGUGCCUGACGGUACCGCUUGAGGAAGCCCCGGCUAACUCCGUGCCAGCAGCCGCGGUAAUACGGAGGGGGCUAGCGUUAUUCGGAAUUAUUGGGCGUAAAGGGCGUGUAGGCGGCUGCGUAAGUCUCGUGUGAAAGCCCUCGGCUUAACCGGGGAACUGCACGAGAAACUGCGUAGCUCGAGUCCGGGAGAGGAUAGUGGAAUUCCCAGUGUAGCGGUGAAAUGCGUAGAUAUUGGGAGGAACACCAGUGGCGAAGGCGGCUAUCUGGACCGGUACUGACGCUGAGACGCGAAAGCCAGGGGAGCAAACGGGAUUAGAAACCCUAGUAGUCC